CAAAGAAACAGCUGCUUGCAAUGACUAUUCCAAAUAUUAAAAAAUCAGGCCCAACCAAGAAAAGCUUUGUGUUCCCAAUGUAAUGUCAUUAGCACGAGUCCUUCUAUCCAAACCCUCCUGGUAGUUGGGACUUUGUAUGGUUUUGUGUUUCUCAUUUUUAUUUUGCCAUUUACCUUUUUGCUGCUGUGAGUGCCUCCCAAGUGUUUCCAUUCCCUUGAGGGGAACUGUCUGCAUAGUUGGUGAAAGAUAAUCUUGUGCAUAAAGCUGCUUUUCCUCGUGGGAAAAGAAUUUUCUAUUUGGUUUGUUGUUUUGAUUAUGGGGUUUUUGAUUUUUUGGGUUUUUUUCAUAAGUGUUUCAGUUGUAGUGCUCUGUAGUUCAGAAUUGGUCCAUAUUAAACUUUUUAAUAGGGAUGUCUCAGACCAUGACUUUUGUACUUUUUAAUUAAAUGAAGGAAAAAAGUCCAUAUGUUGCCACCUGUAAAUAUUACCUGACUAAACUUGCUGUGGAUAUUUCACAAAUCCCAGCAUGUAUCAGAGCUGUGGACUAAUCUAAGAGAAGGCUGAUUAGCACAACUUGUUAACUCUCUUUGGUGCUCUGGA